AACGAACGCUGGCGGCAUGCCUAACACAUGCAAGUCGAACGAAGGCUUCGGCCUUAGUGGCGCACGGGUGCGUAACGCGUGGGAACCUGCCCCUCGGUUCGGAAUAACAGUUAGAAAUGACUGCUAAUACCGGAUGAUGACUUCGGUCCAAAGAUUUAUCGCCGAGGGAUGGGCCCGCGUAGGAUUAGCUAGUUGGUGGGGUAAAGGCCUACCAAGGCGACGAUCCUUAGCUGGUCUGAGAGGAUGAUCAGCCACACUGGGACUGAGACACGGCCCAGACUCCUACGGGAGGCAGCAGUGGGGAAUAUUGGACAAUGGGCGAAAGCCUGAUCCAGCAAUGCCGCGUGAGUGAUGAAGGCCUUAGGGUUGUAAAGCUCUUUUACCAGGGAUGAUAAUGACAGUACCUGGAGAAUAAGCUCCGGCUAACUCCGUGCCAGCAGCCGCGGUAAAGUAGACGUC
rnacentral:rRNA from 1 species